GCGGCGUGCUUAACACAUGCAAGUCGAGCGGUAAGGCCCUUCGGGGUACACGAGCGGCGAACGGGUGAGUAACACGUGAGUAAUCUGCCCUUCACUUCGGGAUAACCACCGGAAACGGUGGCUAAUACCGGAUACGACCGCCCCGGGCAUCUGGUGGUGGUGGAAAGUUCUGGCGGUGGAGGAUGAGCUCGCGGCCUAUCAGCUUGUUGGUGGGGUAGUGGCCUACCAAGGCGACGACGGGUAGCUGGUCUGAGAGGACGAUCAGUCACACUGGGACUGAGACACGGCCCAGACUCCUACGGGAGGCAGCAGUGGGGAAUCUUGCGCAAUGCGCGAAAGCGUGACGCAGCAACGCCGCGUGGGGGAAGAAGGCCUUCGGGUUGUAAACCCCUUUCAGGAUGGACGAAGCCCGGGCGGUGAAUAGCUCGACCCGGGUGACGGUACCUCCAGAAGAAGCCCCGGCUAACUACGUGCCACCAGCCGCGGUAAUACGUAGGGGGCAAGCGUUGUCCGGAAUCAUUGGGCGUAAAGCGCGUGUAGGCGGUCCGGUAAGUUCGGUUGUGAAAGUCCAGGGCUCAACCCCUGGGCAUGCCCGACCGAUACUGUCCGGACUAGAGUCCCGGAAAGAGGGCGAGUGUAAACUUCCUGGUGUAGCGGGUGAAAUGCGCAGAUAUCGGGGAGGAACCACCUAUGGACGAACGCAGCUUCGCUUGGGACGGUUACUGACGCUGAGACGCGAAAGGUCGUUGGGGGAGCCAUACAGGAUUAGGAAUACUCUGGUAGGGUCCACGCCUCGUAAACUGA
rnacentral:rRNA from 1 species